rnacentral:rRNA from 1 species
AUACGUAGGGGGCAAGCGUUAUCCGGAUUUACUGGGUGUAAAGGGAGCGCAGACGGAACUGUAAGUCUGAUGUGAAAGCCCGGGGCUCAACCGCGGGACUGCAUCGGAUACUAUAGAUCUGGAGUGCCGGAGGGGCAAGCGGAAUUCCUGGUGUAGCGGUGAAAUGCGUAGAUAUCAGGAGGAACACCGGCGGCGAAGGCGGCUUGCUGGACGGCAAGUGAGGUUGAGGCUCGAAAGCGUGGGGAGCAAACAGGAUUAGAUACCCUGGUAGUCAACGCUGUAAACGAUGAGUGCUAGGUGUGGGCAUGCAAGGCAUGUCCGUGCCGCAGCUAACGCAAUAAGCACUCCACCUGGGGAGUACGUUCGCAAGAAUGAAACUCAAAGGAAUUGACGGGG